rnacentral:lncRNA from 8 species
AAACGAGAGAGACAACAGAACAGACUGUGUCUCAAAAGGCCAGAAGAAAGAGAGGCAUUCCCCAACCAAGACAGAUUCACAAGACAAUCCGGAGAGCAUGGAAAACAUCCUGAUAUCAGUAUCAGAUCCUGACAACACCCAAGAAACUGAGGGCUCAGGGCUGGUUGACUCUGUCUCCUUCACCUUGGCAACCUGUGGAAGUCUGAUUGGACAAGCUGGCUCCCUUCAGUCCAUCACCCAGCAACUGUCUGAAAUGUACAACAGCCAAGAUUGAAGUUCAAGAAGUGGAGACAACUGCAGAUGUGAUGGUCAAGACUGAAGUCAAGGAAGUAGUUGAGAUUACCAAGAGCGACACCCAAGAGGCAAAGGUAGAGGCUAGUUUUGAGACAGAGAUCAAGCUGACUGAGGGGUUGAACAUUGACACUAAAAUGGAAGAAGAAGCCAAUGCUGAGAUCAAUGCAGAUAAACAAGACAAUACUAUGUCUGAGAAUAACACCAGGAGCUAUGAGCUUAUUCUAACAGCUGGAGAGUCCAAAAUAGAAGUCAGAGAUUAAAAAAUAGAAUCCAAGAUAGAAUUUAGGGAUAAGAAUAUUGAUGCAAAUAAUGAAACUAUGGAUGCAAAGGAUUCUGUUGAGAAUGCAUAUGCUGAGAAGAGUGAACACAGCCAUGGCAGUCAUGGAAGCCCUGAGCUAUCUCAGUCAUCAUCAGACAAUGAUGAAGGUGGUCCUUCGAUGUUCCCCAUAAUCAGCAUGUUGAAGAGCGCUGCCCUGUCCUCAGACCAGGUUAAUGAGAUCAUAGACAAGGUGAUCGACGUCCUGACUGGGGAGGGCCACGAGGUCAUCUUUUCCGAGGACAGGCCAAGUGUCACCUCCAGCCCAGAGUACCAGCCAAAGAACCUGCAUAGGCCACAGUGUUCAGAGGAGAUUCACUGCUGA